AUCUCUCAUGUCAAAGCAGGAUGCCACAUGUAUGAAACUUGCAGCUCCAUGGUCUUAGGCGCGGAAACCUGGGAUGUGAUAUCCAUAUAAGUGAUUUUAAAUUCA